AUACGUGGACACAGCUUGAAACUGUAAACUUUUUUGUAAACUAAAGGGCAGCCGCUCCCUUCCAUCGGCGGGCCUGGCGUCGGGGCGCGGGGCCACCGGUCGAGCGCGUCUCGGGGCGGCGGCAGCGGGAUGACGGCGGCGGCGGCUUGGCCGUGGUGGCAGUGGCAGAUUUCCAACUGCCUCCGCGUCUCCGCCCACAUGCGAAGCCAUUGCUACUCACCUCCGGACGGGCGAGGAAGAACGCGGUGGUUGUAGUUUCGUAGGAUUAGAUGCCAAGUGAAAGAACUGCUUUCUCUCGGCGAAGUCCAACAAAUUUCUGCAGUAAAAUUGGUGCGUGUAACUCUACUUCUCCUGUACAUUUUAACAUGUGGAUACAAUACUGCUCUAUCUGUAGUUCUAUAGCCUGUGAUUUGGUACAGUGUUUGGACCCUGUGACAACAAACUCGUGCAAACUGAAUGUUGGUUAGUCACAGUAUGAUAGUGGAAAUUCCCAUCAUACUCAUCCGCAGCUUGCCACAACUGAAAGUGUUUUUUCGAUCCCAGGGCACGGGUCGCCUCCAAACUUGGCAGGCCGUACCGGAAUUGCGCACUUCCUUCUGCCUAGGCAAGCCUGAAAGGGUAAAACAAGCACCCAAGUUUUUAGGAUUGCAGUGGUAAUAGGAUAGUGCAUUAUGAUAUCAACAUGCAACUUCUGGAAAGGCAGAGGGUCUUACAUCCUUUACGACAAACUCCGUCGUCUCUGCGUGGCAACUCCCGAGGCAGCUCCUGCUGGAGCUUCUGCAGUCCUCGACCGGAUUUCCGUAGCUCGCAAACUCAAUAUCCGUGAUGCGUUUGCCUUGCUGACACCGGAGUCGAACUGCUGGGUGCUUUCUGCGUGACAACAGUGACGGGGUAGAUAACUCAUUCACACUACUGUAUACUCUGGUAACUGAAACUGUGUUCACAGUUAUCUGUAGCGGAUCACCACCAAUUUCCUCCAUGAGGACGAGGGUGUUCUCUCUAGGCUUCAUAAAGUAUUGUGGUAUGUGGUACCUUCAGAAAAGGAAGCAAAUGAGACAUCAAUUGUUGUUCAAUGUUCGUCAUACGAGUUCAAGAAAGGAAUUUGUGUCACUAGUAGGAACUAGUUGUAGUACUGACAAGGACUGGGAUGGCUGUCCGCUAGGGGUUUUGAAGGAGGCCCAAUACCGUCCGAUGCUCUCUCCAUUGACCCACACCUCACCCUUGCCCAUACUACUGAGGUUCAGCGUGACUGGGUCAUUCCCCCAUGGUGUGUCAAAUGUCGUCUGCACCAAACGACAACAAUUUCCCGAAGCUGUCGGUUACUAUCACUGUGGAAUGAACAUGUAACUGAAGUCUGUCAGGAUUCAAGGCUUAUGUACAUUUGAUGUACCUUGUACCAGAUAAGUGGAAGGUGCAUGGACUUAUUGAUGGCAGUCCAUUGAGCACGAGAUGAUCCUUCCCGCGUGUAUAUAUGGUUCAUUUCUCCAGAUAAGCCAAUCUGCACAAACGUAAUUGCUUGAAAAUUUGAAUCUGAGACUGAUCUAUCGAUUCAGAAUCAGUGUUGACCUGGAUUUACUUGGUGUUUCCACAGCUCAUUAUUCAGAGAACGUGAUUUGUGGUGUCCUUGUUGUAUGCUCACUUUACGAACUCCGAAGAUUCUUCGCUCCAUGUAUGCCCCCGAGUCCUUUACUUGUUAGAUGAAAAGUCAAUUUGUUACAAACAGUAGGUAACGUGCUUUUCUAAAUCUCUUUGUUGUGCUUAAUUUCUAUUAAUGCUUAUUAUGUAGAGUCAAAUGAGUAUCUUCUUUUGGGGCCCACUAGCACAGCUUGGGUGGUGCGUAUUGUUGACACAAACAAAAAAAUCGUUGCACUUAAUUUCCAGUUAAGGAACAAACAACAAUGAUUUUUUAGUGAACCUCUUUCUUGGUUAAGCUGACUUGUCCAUAUGUUGAAAUAUCUGUCAGGGAUUUAUGUAUAUUUAUGUUUGUUAAAAUUGUGUUCAGCAUUUUAUUCAUAUAAGCUGUAAAAUCUGAAUAACAGAAUUGGCAUUUUAUACACAUAAGCAUUUUAUUCAACACAAACCAUUGCUCUGCUGACGAAUUUAUUGCACUGCAAUUUGGAUCACACCUCAUAUUCUCCUUGAUUUUAUGUUUUUAUUAUUGUCAUUGUCUUCGUAUUUGAGCCUAUACAGUUAAAUAAAAGUCAUACCGGUGAUCCAACCAUGACACUAAGCAGUGAAAUGGAGUUUUGUCCUUCCCUUAGUGUAAUAGGUGUCUUGAGAACAAUAUUUCUAGGUCCAUCGUGACUCCCAUGCACAGUACCUAAUCACAUAUGGAAGAAGAUAACAAACAUAGUAGAUACAUAAGUGGGUAAUAGUUGAAGAAUUUUCAAUUUUGCAUAUUCAGUUGGUGCUUUCUAUAAAUUGCACUGAGAUAGUAUUAUUGUACUUACCUGCAUAAUCAUUGUUGAUGUAAGCAUGUAAAACAUGGGCUUGUGACUCCACAUUAAGCACUAGCUGGCUAUUCCCACUUGAUCUAUAAUCAUAUCUGCAUGAUUUCCAUUAUUUUAUUAUUAAUGUGGGCAGGAUGAGGUAUUAAAAAAUGAUGUAAAUAUUAAACCAUUAAACAAGCUGGAGCUCAUCCAUCUUACCUAGUAAGGUACCAGAGAUAAUCUGUCUCAUCUUUUGUAGUUGAGAGAUGUUCAAAAAAUCGAUUUCCAAUGUGUGUACUGUUGUUUAUCGCCAGAGGAAUCGGUUCUUUGAAUACUUUCCAGCUAUCAACAUUGUUCAGAGACUGGACUGCUUGUGCUGUUCUUAAACCAUGCUGUGCAUUUAUCUGCCAAAAGUAAAACUGAUAAACGAAGCACUCCCUUGAGGUCUUCAAUCGCUGAAGAAUUGAAGGUAACUGGCUCACCUUGGCUGUUUCAAAUACUACCCUCCUGCAACUUGAGAGGAUACUUAUUGAUUUAGGAGCUAGCUGGAAUGAUGCUUCACCAAAUUGGAUAUUUGAUGCUUUAUGCUUGUCCAAGUUCACUAGGAAAGCCACACAGUUGGACUCGGUUUUAAAAACAUGCCCCUGUAGUAUGCCAAAAGUUAGCCCCAUAAAUCAAUGGAAUUUUACUGAAAAUAAAGUACACCUAGUUUCGUUUCACUCUGCACACAAAUUCACCUCUUGUUGCUCACCAAAUGAGUAAUUAGAAUAUGCUCCUGAAAGUAGUGGUUCUUCAGAUUGCUUGAUUGCAGCAUGCAAUUCUCUGAGAUGAGACCAUGUCGAUUGCCAUAUUAAACCUGGAUGUAUGCUUGGUAGUUCAAACAUCAUAUGUAUAUACUAAUCAAUUAUCGUUCCAAAUUAGAGUGUUCUCAAGAUCUGUCAUUCAUGUGGAUUUCACAGGUCAUCAGUUUUUGACUAGACAUGUUACAUGGUUUGAUUUUAUGUGCCUUGUUAGUGGACUAUGCUCAUGUUAUAAUAUUUUAUAUUACAAGAAGUUUGAAUGGUUGCUUUUAAAAUAUGAUAGCUCGCAACAGAAGAAAUACUUGCCAUAUUCAUCAAGUGGAGCUCCAUCAUAGUAGCUUGUUGUUACAUAGGAGGAUGCAAACCUCCCAAAGUUUGUCCCGCCAUGAUACUGCAUCAUAAUCCGUAAUUUAUGAGAUCGUGAAAAAAAAUACUAAAUAGAUUUGCUGAGAGAUCUUAGGGCAGCUCCUUAAAGUUCAUAGGCUUGUAGGCUGUACCAUAUAGUAGCUUACAAAGCUUCCUUUUUUUCUUGCUAUAAAAAGUGCAACUGCGAAGGCAAUAUCUGCUGGUGAUCUGAAUCUUGGGUCAUGACCAUAUAAAGGAUAGCUGUACGCAGAGAAACUUGUGUGUUAGGCCUUGUACCCCUGGGAAUGUUUAAGAUCCUCAGAAGAAAAACAAAGAGUAUUUGUCGCACCGAGAUGUCCAGUUUUCGGUCCAUAAAGCUGGCUUGUUAUGCGAAUUUGGCCCAUGAAAUGUUUCCCCGCAGAUGAGCCCGUUGCAUGUAUUAAUCUAACCAUGUAAUGAAUGUUACACUGCUAAAUUGUGGAUAAUCUGUAAUCCUGCAUAAUGGUAUAAGAAAGGGCACUGACGAUUGGAUCUGGAGCAUCGUCCUGUUUGCACAUCAUCCAUGGAAUGCCUGUCUGGAGGUUUACAGCCAUUGCCGCUGCCCAGCGAACAUAAGGUGGUCCCCUUGAACGAAAUGCUGCCUCGACUAGCUUAUAUUCGUUCUCAAUCUGCAGGUUAAAUUUCAGGGUUGCACAAAAAGGUCAUCUAAUACAUAACACAAGGGAUAAGUACUGUUGAACUGAAAUACCUGUGAUAUGAUUAUGGGACCUCCUUGUGGAUAGUAUAAUUUUUCAUCCUUCAUCAUGUUAACAAUUUUAGCAACAAAUUUUUGCAUAUGUACCUGCAUUCAGUAUUUAAAUAUGAGUAAUCUACCAUGAUAGUUUAGCAUGAAAUAAUGUAACUCUAGGAUUGCAUGGACAAUUCAUCAUCUGGUUCCUCAAACCAAACAGCCUCUGUAUUCUUGUAGAUGCAUAUUUUCAGUUUUCUUGUACCGUUUGUUUCUGACAGUGAGGUUGGUAAAUCUGUAUGGAACCUACCACUCUCACUUCAUACAUGACAUCUGUUUUCACCUGUGUGUUAUACUUGUACCUGACAAACAUUUGUCAUCUCUUUUAUGCUUGCUUAAAUGCAUCAUGUGACAUUUUUAGUCAUGCUAAUGGGUUUCUGAGGGUAGUACGAUGUUUUACAAGCUAGAACCACGAUGGAAAACUAUUCUGAAUAUAUGUUAAUACUAUAAUUCAUUUUACCAUGUGGAACAGAGGAUUGGAGGAAACAAGAAAUGGUAUUUUCAUUCUGAAUAAUCCAGAGAUUCUCUUCUAUGGUUGCAGUCUUGCAGACCAUAUAGCAUUGUUCAAGGUUUCAAAGGCACUGCGUUGGGUAGUUGGAUACCUUGUAGGGUUCAUUGUUGCAUCUGAAGGUAAUGUUUGGGACACCACGCAACCAAAAUGGCAAGCCUCUGCAUGAAUAAAAGAUCCAGUAAAAGCUUUACAUGUUCAGGACACCAUAGAAAUGAAACUCUUCCCUGCGUAUUCAUGCAUCAUCUCGUUACCCGUAUUUCCAUUCUGCCUCGACGAAGGGGCCGACACGGAGGCUCACAUAGAGGCCUUGGGCAUGGAUUUCUCUGAUGAACUUCACAAGAUCGUAUCUUCCUUCGAAGUUGUACUGGAGCACCCACCUGACCCUGUAUAGGCUCAUGGACAUUCCAGAAGACGUAUGUCUGUAUGACAUCCAGGCCACCUUCCCUGGCGCUCUCUAUGAGUCUCGGCCACAUCUGUAGUUGGAUUGUACGUUAGUUUGAAGGAAAGGAACUGAGUUUUGUGCUUCAUACAGUAUGAUUCGUGGUGCAUGCUUGAUUGCUUACUGUAUGUAUGUAUGUAUUGACUGAACUAAUUUGAUUGCUGAAGGAAACUGACUGAACUAAUCUGUUUAUGUAGUGAGUUGGACUUUGCUGUAGUGCAGCAAUCAUAAAUUUACUUUAAUUAACAAAUGCUUGAAAUGAUGUCUUAUUUGGCGUCGACAGCCGCGGCAGCAUUUACCUGUCACUCUUCCAUGUUGGAUGAAAAAGUGAGACGCAUUGAAAAACAAAAGUGCGCCUUUUGUGGUCGAUGGACUGAUUAUGUGAAUCGCUUCAGUUAUUUAAACACUCAGAAAAGGUGCCCAGUGUUUCCAAAUUGAAAUGAUGGAAUCCACUUCUAAGCAAAAAAGAAACAGUACAAAAUGACACGCACGAAACCUAUCAAUCAGUACAAGAAAGCUUGUUGAAAAUUAACUGAAAACUGCACAGUUUGUUGCUCGACAUAAUAAAGCUUUACUAAACUACUCCGUACUUCAUAGUGAAUACUUGAACACAAAUCUCGAUCUGCGUACGAGGUCGAAAAUCGUAACAUAAAUCUCAAAAUUAAAAUGAUGGAAUCCACUUUUAAGCAAGAAAAAUAAAUAAGAAUCAGUACAAGAUGGCACGCAUG